GUCAGCGGAAAGGAAAGAAGAUCAAUGGAUGGAUUGUAGGUCCUGGUGAAGGGAUGAAUUGCUGGAUUCAGUGCACUAAAGGGAAUGAACUGGAAAGACAGGAGGUAAUGGUAGAAGAGUGGAAUGUUUUGAGAUUGGGAUAUGGAGCAGUUGUAAGUCUAGAAUAUAACCAAGGGAAUGAGUGGGUAAAGAAGGGGCAGA